AUGAGAUGCUAUGUCAGAAGACUGGAAGCUAGCAAGUGUUGCGUAUACCAUACUUUUAAACUGAGCACAAGGAGCAGCCCUGGAAUUUGCAGAUGCACAAUCCAUAUGUUAAUGCCAAUAAUGGCAAUACAUUCAUUCUGCCAUUUGGAGGAGCCUGUGCCACAGAAUAAUGAUCUGAAGAAGGCUAACUUGCUUGCAAAGAGCCUUCAUUUGGGAAACAGUAGUGAUGCAGCAAAGAGGUGCUUUGUCAAGUUCAGCAGAACUAUUAUUGCACCUAGCACAAACUCCAGUACAUGGACAAAGCUGGUUUUCCUCAAAGAAUAA
rnacentral:lncRNA from 1 species